AUUUAUAAUGAAAAUGAAUAGUGAGGCAUAGUGGGCUCAAUGGCAUUCAAUUUCUCCCCUCAGCUCCUUUCACCUUCUUGGAGUUUGUCUUGCUGUCUUAACUGGCUGCCAGCUCUGAGCCUUCCUCAAUAGCAGCAAGCAGAGCAAAGAACUCCUGUGACAAGUUAUGCCUCAGCCCAUCUGGUUGUUUCUCUGAAGCACCACCUGAUACUUGGCUAAUCAAAGCCAGGCUCUUCGGAAGAUGAGGAACAAGGGAGAAUUUCCACAUCUUCCAUGUGUGUUGUCUUCUCUUGCGGACUCAUACCACAUAUGCCUUUUUGACUAUUGUGACAGAGUUAUCCAUUAACAGUGGCAGAGAAAUAAUUCCUAUCUGGGUAAGACCAGAUCUUUGAGCAAAGAAAAAAUGAAGAAAGCUGGUUGUACACCCAGGAGUGAGAAUGGCUACUGCAGGGUUCAAUAUGUUCCUUCCCCUUGGAUGCUGGGGAAACAAGUAGUACUGCAGGAGUGAUAGGCAAUCUCUGUUUGGGAGCUUCUUGGGAAUGCUGGUCUUAGAUAGGCUGUGGUGGGCCAGAACUGACAGUGGUUGAAGUUCUGUGUUGGUUUUCUUGAGACCAUGAAAAGCCUGUGGCUUCUUAAAGGAAUCUCUUUUUUUUCAUGAUUUGGGCAGGAAUAUCAUGGCAGCAGAAGGUGGGAACACUCAGCCUGUGGUUCAGUGAUCAAAUAGGAGAAGUUGGCAGUCCAGCAAAAACUGGCUGAAAUUCAAUUCUUUCCAGGGGAAAACAGGCUCACUCUGAUUUUUUUGUUAGUGAAUUGGGUCAAUAUGAACAGUACUGCGUGAGGGGGAGAGAGGCACACCUUCAUUUCAUUCCUAGGCAGAACGAGGCUUCUGCCUCUAUGUCCACUUACGAGAGAUUGAUGUGAAGAGGGAUUGGCUGCUGAUCCAAGUUGAGAUUAAGCAGUGUGACUCUUGUACCAGAAAAUAGUUAGCAGGUGUCAGGUUACUUAUUAUCAUGGGGAUCUUUUACUCAGAAAAGUAGUGGUUUAAGUUUGGGGAUAAUAUACAGUGUUUUGCUAAUUUAAUGUACACACAGAGAGGCCAACACAUAACAUCAGUUUUGCCUAUGGGAGCUACAAGCAAUAUCUCUGUAAUUAAUAGUAUUGCAUCUCAGUUGUGGACAUGCUGGCUGGCAUAGUCAUUCAGAGAAAGCGCAGCUGUUAAUGGUACAGAGUGGGUGAGGGUUUAAGCUACCUUAGUGCAGGUCUCUCACCAGGGUACACAAACAGGAAGCUGAUACUGCCCACAAACACCCUUUCUUACCUCCUUUUGGCAGACUGAUCAUUUCUAUUUAGUGGCCUCUGUGAAAUUUGUCAUUUGUGUUAGCACUUCUGUGCUUUUGUUCUGAAGUGCCAUCAGGAUCCCAUUUUGAUCCAGUAAUCGCUUAACAUUUUAACGUUGCUUCUUGGGUAGACAAGGUCUGAUGUGGCAGCAGGGAUUAGGAGGUUUCCCACCAUGGGACUGAAACUGCGAUGGAGCCAGGUCUGUGUGGCUCCUCGCACACCGUGCAGACUCUCCUUCAGCCCAAUUGCACACGUCUUCUCAUUCUCCGAGGGGCAGAGAGACAUGGCCCUGCUGGUGGCUCAGGAAUCUCCUGUCCUCACAGCCCCACGCAGCUGCCCCUGUCACGGAGGCCUUAAAUCUCCAACUGUCCUUCUAACUGUUCCCCCUCCAGACUUGGACAGGUUCCAGUCUGCAGCCAAAAAAGCUGUAGCCACUGGUGCGCUCAUUGCACUGACCUGUUACUUGUUGUCAGAUUCCAUAAGGUAUCACUGAGGUUCCUGUGAUGCAUUGCAGAUAUCUGGUACGUAUAUUGCUUUCUAAUUUAUGCUUUAUCCUGUUCUUUAUUCCAGGAGAUGAGCUUUUUAACAGCUACAUGGGUGUUACUGUGGUGACUGUAACCAGGCAAAAAACAUACAGUUCAUAUUGAGAUAGUUCUACAUUUGUGGACUUGGAUAUGAUUAAGAGAUUUUUAAAGGCAUGCUGUAUUUUUUUUCCCUUCCCUGCAGAACAGAGAGAGGUUUCUCAUAAACUUUCAGUUACAUACUAUGAACCAGAAAGGUAUAUGAUUCAUCUUCAGAAGCAUGUGUGUAUUAGUAUAUAUAUACAAACACUCACAUACUAUGCCAACAAAUGUUGUGACUUCUAGCUAGUUAGAGAUUUAGAAGAUAUUUUCUCCAAGCAUAAUUAAGAUUGUUUAGAUAUUUGACUCUUCAUUUCUUUAUGCUUUAUUUGGAUUUCUUGUUCAGUUUAAUUUUGCCUGAGAACUUCCAGGGUUUAUAAUUCUUGGGGCUUGAAUAAUUGCAUUAUUUCUGUAAUAUAUUUUACUAUAAAUGACUGCCAUGUAGCCUUAACACUGCCUCCAUCUUCAGGGUUUUUUUUUCAGUUUUACAAUGUAAUUUUCCUGCAGUAUGAGGCUUUUGAGGAGACAAUGUUCUGUGAUUCUCACCUGAGAAGUGCCUUUCCAAAGAACAUGAGAAUGUGAUAUCUGAAAGAUGUGAUUAUUACUCUUGAAAUUCAAAACUGUAAACUAUGUGAGUUUUGAACCUAAAUGCAUCAUUCUAACUUAAUUUCUUAGAGAAAUAGAAUGAGUGUAGUAAAUAAUGAAAAGGAGGAUUGUAGUGCAAACUUCAAUUUCUGAUAUACUGAUAACUGCAAAUUAAUCUCAGCAAUUAGAUAUGAGAGCUAUUUUCCUCCAGUGUGCAACUCUCUGAAAUGUUAGUGAACAUUAAUAAUAAAUUAGAAGUCAGACAAGCUGUUUCUCUAAGCUCAUUUAAGACAAGAAAUGCACCAAAUGCUACACUUCUUAAGGACUCCAUUUUUAAUGAGUCACAAGCUAAUGGAAGACUGAGUUGAAAAUCCUCUAGAAUAUUGCUUAUCUUCAGUUAAUAGAGCCACUGAAUGAAAGGGUAGGAGGCACCCUUUGAUCAAGUAGUUUGAGCGCCCUCCUAUUACAGCCAUUGCAUUUUACCUCCUCAAUUUAGUGCUGAGCCUGGUAGCUUGUGUGUGACAGCAACAGAUCCCCUCAGUAAGGCAUCAAGCCUUGAUCUGAAGGCUGGGGGAGGGGGAAGGAUGAGAUGGAGAAUUGUUUCUUUCAGUCAUUUGCUCCAGCUGUUAACCACCCCAUCAUUAAAAAUCUAUGCACUUUUUUUUUUGCCUGGCCCCUGCCCCCGCAACAAGCAUUGUAAGGAGGAUAAAGAACAACUUUAUAUGCUUAAUGAAGAGCGUGGAUACCUGCUCUGGGUUCAGUUUAGCCUUGACAGUGGAACUGUGACUGCACUUCCAUGAAAAUGUCUACAACUCUGAACUUCGUGUCCUCCUUCAGUUGCAUUUCUCAGAGUCCCCAGAGCUGCACAACAGGGCUGUUCACAGUUUAGCAAGGAAAACAAACCCAGAAGGAUGAAGAACCAGAGAGGAAAGGAAGAAAAUAAGCAAUGAAGGGACAUAAUUAUUGCAUCACUCUCCUCUGGUAGAAAAGAUCUUGGACGUGUACGCACACACAAAAGUAAAUCAAGUAUUUCAGUAAAUAGUGCCAUCUUAUUUUUAUUCUUUUUUCCCUAGUACUUAUAAUCUUUGUGUGUUUAAAAAAUUAAAUGUCAAGUUGCAAAAGGGGCUGCAAAGUGAUUUCAUGGGACCUGGUUCCAUACUACAUUGGGGCCUGCUCCUCCUUUUGCCACCAUGUUCCCAUAAAAUAAGCAAUUGUGCAGGACAUAAGCAUAGUCGAAGCAUUAACUAAAUCUCCUAUUUAUUCCCUGAAUCACCUGGCUUUGCAGAUCUCAGACUACUUGUGCCAACACAAAGUGAAAGUCCAAAUCCUGAAGAGUAAGUGCAAAGGAGAGAAGUGAGUAAUGCUGUGAAUCAACGUUGCCUGUUAGGUUACAUUCUCGACCUGAGGAUCUGGUGUUUCAGAAAAGGCCUGUCCCUGAAGCCAUCUUUGUUCUGUUACAUUUGGUCACCUUAACCUCCUCGGCAGCAAAGGUCUUCCCUUGAAAUCCUCAACAUCUGUUUGGUUUCCUUGCUUCAUGUUUGAAAUCUAACAGGCACGAUACAAAUUUAUGUACCUCCAACUUUUUUCCAUCCCCCUUGGUAAACUUGUAUACAUCCAGCUAUAAUAUAACAGGUAACAAGCAGUGUGUGGCUGGAGAUGUUUCCAUCCUGUCACCUGAUGUUUUCAGAAUGUUUCCAUUGGAAAGUUUGCUCCAGUUUGCAAGCUGGAAUAUAUGAAUGCCACUGAGAGUAGUUAAAAGAAGGAGUGACCCUUUACAGGGUCCAUAAUCUGGAUUUGCGCUGGAAAAAGUUUGGAGAAGGUCUGGAGAAGACUGACCCAGGCAGCCUGUGCCAACCCAAAGGACUGACCAAGAGGAUGUCUCCGUGAGAGCUUUAUUUCACACCUGGAGGAGAAGGGGUGUGAGCCUGUGUCCAACACCCACUCUGUGCUUUUCUACGUGCUUCCUUUUCAAUUCAAACAGGAGGAAGUAGAUACACACCUACUUUCCUCUCUUCAGUAAUUAGUCCAAGAGGAGUGACUAUGUUGUGCAGCGAUUGCAAACUGAGCACACAGUGAUGGGCAGUCUCUGUUGCUUAGUUUGAAUUCAUUAUUUCCUCUGUCUUUUCAAGGCAGUCAUACCGUUAUUUUGCUCUCUGUGUUCCUUGCUCCAUUUUGAAUUUUGCUCUGCUCACGCUCUUCUAUUCAGUCUCUCGUAACCUGCUUGUGCCACAAAGCAUUAUUUUAUCUGGAGAGGGAUGGCUGGACUGAUUAUAAUAUUUAAUCUAUUUCAUGAAGUUUUCAGAGGUCACCAGUGUCAAGGAACAACAAUUUGCAUUAUCUCCUUUAUUACAUGUAUUAUUUUUUCAAAAUAAUAUUAUUUAACUGCCAUAUGGAAACUAGAAGAAUUCUUGAAAUUUAUGCUUGUUGCUGAUGUUAUAUCCUCCUUCCCCAACUUUGAAAUUGUUACAUAAAAUAGGAGAUUAAAAGCAUUUUUUAUUCUAAAAAUCUGGGCAAGAUGGAAAUUGAUUAUUUCUAUCUCUUUUAUUAAUGAAACAUUUAUAAAAAGAAUAAAAUUUUAAGUAGAUGAACUGAUUUAGAAAAGUUAACAAUAUGAAUUGUAAUUAAUUUUGUAACUAUUUAACAUAUAAAAGUUUUAAAGUAACCUUUUCACUGCUCCCAGGUAUAAAAACUGCUAAGUAAAUAGUUGAGAUGAGGCUGGUCUUGAACUGGCAUGUUCCAGUAUCUGACUGGUAUGAUUUCUGUACGGUUUGCUAUUGAAUAUCAUACCCUCAGCUGAUCCUCACAAAAGGGCCAGCUGAAGUAUCGCUGAGCCUGUGGAAGCAGGGACAAGUGUUUCCAGUGUUAUCCCAGCAGUGUUUUCGUUGUUAGGAUAGGACUUUUGCUCCCAUGAAUUCCAGUCUUGAUGGAAAUGACUGAUGUUCUCUGUCAUACUCUAAUGAGUAUUUGAAACAUUAAGUAUUAACGAUGCAUUCAAAUGAUGGAAAAAAUUUCUCCCAACUGAUUUGGCCACUCCUUUACCCAAAGGACUGAUCUCCACGUGACUGCUGCUAUAUUAGCUGGAUAUAGCAAGACUACAAGCUCUAUAUAAGCUUUGCAUACAGGGCCAGAAAAAAACUUCCGUUCCGUGAGAAAAUAAGAUCUUUUAUUGCAAAUCUGUAUGUAUGUGCUAGCACUAAUGGCAGAAGCUACAGUCCCCCUUUUAAUUAAAAUACUCAAUGCUAUAAUAAAAAGACACUGUCUUCACUUUUUCUGCAAUUUUAGAGUGAAAAUAAACUAGCGCAACAGUUUUAGCCUAAUGUGUGCAGUGUUCACGGAGAAAUGCUUCAUCCACUCAUUCCUUGGGCAGUUUGUAUUUUCUUGGGAAAAAAAGGCUUGAAAGAUUUGAACCUUGACUGCUUUCCAGCAGUUUUCUGUGCAUCAUAGUAAAUAAAUAAAAAAUUGUUGCCUCUUUUUCACACUCUCCCUGACUGUUCAGAGAAUGAAAUGUUCUCACUCUAGAGUCAAAGCCAACACACACACACACACGCUGCCUUGUGCAACUAGUCUUUUCCAUGUAAUUUGAAUAAAUCAUGAAUAUUCAAAAUACCGUUACAAGCAUCUGUGCAAAAAUAAUAUAAAUACUGUUGUUCACAGCCAGACUAAAGGAGUUCUUCAGACUAUCAUGAGCAGUCCACUGCACAGCCAUAACGUUUAGAAAAUGGAAAAGCAAUUGUACUACUCGUGUUCAGGUUCCCUGAACUUAAAUUCAGACAAAGUUUAUAUCGGGUGGGACAGAGGACUCGCUUUCAUCUCAGAGAAACAUAUCCUUGAAAAUUAUCAGUAUACUUUGGUGACACACACCUGUGAAUCUGGAAGAGAGAACAAAUUUUAACGUCACAAAUGUGUAUACAUCUGUUAUCCCUGCUCCUGGAAAUAGUUUGAGUUUGUUCUUUUUUUUCUUAAUAUAGUUUUGGAUUUGCAGAGGGAUGGUUUCUACAGAGUUCCCUGGUGUUAGUUACAUUAGUGUUUUAUAGGCUGCUCAUGUAAACUCGAGCUUUCAUGGCUCUCAGUAUUAGCUUUUUAAUAGAACACAGUUCAUAUUGGCUUUUAUUGCUGUUUAAUUUAGGCUGGGUUUUUUAUGUGGUUCCUCAGCUGCAAGGAAUGUGGCCUAUACUUGUUUGAAACUUCUUGUCUGUGUAAACCUGCUAUUGAUGCUCUUAUUUCUUGCAUAUUAUAACAUUCUCUAAGAGCUAAACUUGCCUGUAUUUGCCAUGCAGAUCAAUUACUCUACAUAGCAAACCCAGAUCUCAUAUUACAGCUGGGAACCCACAACUUUUAGAUAGUAACUGGAAGUCUUUCCUACCUUUGUACCAUAUAUUGGUUGCUUCACAGAUAUAGAAAUCCAUAGCUGAAAUGUCUACAUAAAUCAUUCUUAGCAAAUAGUGCUCCUUAUUCAAAGGACACAUGCAAAUAAUUCCCAGCCAAAUGUUAGUUAUUGGCUUCUAAGUUCAUGUGCUUUUUGAAGUGAUCCCAAUAUCACCCUUCUCUUCUGGACAUCUGAAAUUGUUUAAAGCAACAUGUGGUUUCUCACACUUCUAUAAGAAAAAGGCAGUUUCUAAAUAGGGUGAGGAAAAAUGUAAUUUAAAUAAAAGCGUAUUUGAUUUCAGAUAUUCAUGUUUAUAACAACAGCUUUACUCAACGGAGAGAGAAUUUUCUACCCAAAAAGAUCUUCCUUAAUAGUUAUUCUAAAUAAAUGUGUAUGGACAAUUCAGUUAGUUUUGAAAACUGUGUAAGAUACUGAGAGGAACAAAGCUUACAUUUUCACAGGUCUCAUGAAGAAAGGAUGUUCUUUCUUGUGCAUUAAUGUGUUUCAUCAGAAUUCCUGGGAAGCUGUCCAGCUAUACAUAGUAAAUAUUUCAUAUACCAAUAAAAUGAUUCCUCAGCAAUUCAACCACUCAGCACAAAUGAGAUUUAAUUUAUGGUGAAUAUCUGCACCUGUUAAACAGUGAAAUAGGCUCCUGACAUAAGUGAUCCUUUCAUACUGUUAUUUAGCUAAAUUUUUAAAAAGGUCCUAUAUUUCCAAGAUAUAAUCUUUUAAAGAUCAUCAUUUCAAAAACAUUCUCAGGCCUGAAUUUUGAGCUUACAUGUUGAAGAGGGAAUAUAUCUAAUUUUGAGCUAAAAUAUAUAUAUAUAUAUGUGGGGCUAAGAUCAACACCAUCAAGGGAAGGCAUAAAAUGUGCCUAUUACUGAAUUAGGCAUUUGUUUUGUAUGUCUAAUGAUAAAAUCAAUACGUGGCUCCAUCAGAGGAGAGAUCCAUCAGCGUCUAUCUUGCUAGCAUUCAAUCAAGAGAUUGAAUUUGCAAGCUUUGAGGGGGAAAAAUGUUCCUCCAUCUUUUGACAAUCCAUAUUACACUAAUUCAGACAGCUUUUACACAGAGCUGCACCAGUUUACUUGAGCAUUGCUUUCAAUAUCAUUUCAUUAAACCAAUGCAAAAGGUUGUGUUGACCUUUUAAAUACAUACUUAAAUCUGAUCAGUGAAGCUUAAAUCGAUUAGGAACUGAUUUUAAGCCAACUCUUAAGGCAAAUAAGUGUGUCCACACAGGGUUCUUCAGCUGUUCAACAAAUUGAUGUGAAAUUCAAUUUAAAUUAAGCUGCUGCAAACAAACCACUGUUGUGUUGUAGGCAAGUCCCAAAUGCACCCUCCAAGUUCUUUGAGAACUUUGUUUUUUACUAAUACAGAGAACGCAAGGGAAAUACAGUUAAUGGAGUGAAAUCUGCUCAUCCAUGUCAGGAAAGGAGGAGUGACUAUAAACCGUGGUAAGAGGCUUCCAAACAAAUGUCCAAGGCUCAGCUGAAAGCUGCAUUUGUAAACCUAUUCACUGCCAAACGACAGAUGCUUUCUACUCUUCUCUCUUGGCAGCUGUAACUACAGUGAACAAGACGGGUGGCACCAGGAAUACCAGCACUCACCAGACUCUGGCAGAAGGAGGCCUCCUCCAUAUCUCACAGGCUGAAAAGACCCAAAGUGAGUUUAAAGGAAAUCCCCCCAGUUCGUGUUUGCUAGUGAUCAGGACACCUGUUUCCAACCUUUAGCUUGCCUUCACAGCAGCUCUGGUGUUUUCACAGAGUACAUUAUUCCUCUCUCCCGAAACCUCACCAAAGACCUUUGCAGGACUACAGAGAAGCCUCUUUAUUUUCACAACCCGUAAGUCUACAAGGGAAUGAAGAGGGUCUGGUAACUGCUGAUGGUUUGGAUGUGUGUGGUAUUGCCAGGUCUUUGGCCUCUUUCCAGCUUUCCUGGUUCCUCAAAAUUACUUAUAAUAUUCCCAUUUAGACCUGUGCAACUGGUGUUGAAUGAUUGCAGACUCACAAAGAACAUUAUGGGAUGUGAAUGAACUUGAACAUAAGGAUCUUCCAUGAUAAAAUCAUGAGUAUUUCUAUAUAUUGAGGUAGAAGAGUCAGCUCCUUGGUAGUUGUAAUAAACUCUCGCCCAAUAUAGAACUUCCUGUGUGUCUUGCUAAAACCUGAAGCUGUUGCAUCUUGUACUGUUCUUUUUUUUUUAAGUCUUGUUGAUACUGCAGUCGGGUGGGAGAGCAUUCCUAGUGCUGGAUAUAACUCUUUCCUCUUUCUCCUAGCACAGAUUGGAAUCAGUGAAUUCUUAAAGUGGGUUGAGAAGUAUAAUUUAUGAAUGUGGUGAACAGAGGGAAAAAGAAAAGAAAAGAAAAACAACAAAAAACAAACCAACAAACAACAACAACAAAAAACCCCACAGUGACUGGAGGGGGAAGAAGAAGGGGCUACAUCACGUUGCAGCGGUAAAAAUGACCAAAGCACUAGGCCCUGCACCCUACACUUGUUUCUCUGCUCACUCCUAAUUUCUGCAUUUCCUGAAGCUGUCACGAUUGGGGAGCUCAUGCCUUCUGAUCAGAGAAAGCUCGCUGUUUCAAAUGGCCUUUCCUUCCAUUGGGGUUCUGGAGAUCCAGUUGUGCUGAACUUUGAAACUAAAGGAACAGAUGUUUGACACAGCAAGAUAUGUUCAAGGUAUAUGAACCUGCAAAGAAGUAUGACGGUUUAUUAGUUUAUUAUUCCGUAUAGAACUGGCAGGCAGAGUGUCUGUUGUGUGAUUCACUGACCUAGAUGCUGUAAAGAACUUUCCAGUAAAGUCCAGUGUAAGACUAAACUCAGUAUUGUUUUUAUCUAGGCGUUCAUGACAGCGAUUAAAUGCCAGAAAUACUUGAAA